AGUAACACGUGGGUGACCUGCCCUUAGCUCUGGGAUAAGCCUGGGGAAACUGGGUCUAAUACCGGAUAUGACCUCAUGACGCAUGUUGUGGGGUGGAAAGCCUUGUGCGGCUAGGGAUGGGCCCGCGGCCUAUCAGCUUGUUGGUGGAGUGAUGGCCUACCAAGGCGACGACGGGUAGCCGGCCUGAGAGGGCGACCGGCCACACUGGGACUGAGACACGGCCCAG
rnacentral:rRNA from 1 species